GAAAGAUGGUGAACUAUGCCUGGGCAGGGCGAAGCCAGAGGAAACUUUGGUGGAGGUCUGUAGCAGUUCUGACAUGCAAAUCAGUUGUUUGACCUGGGUAUGGGGCGAAAGAUUAAUCGAACCAUCUAGUAGCU
rnacentral:ncRNA from 1 species